rnacentral:rRNA from 1 species
UGGGGAAUUUUGGACAAUGGGGGAAACCCUGAUCCAGCCAUCCCGCGUGUUCGAUGAAGGCCUUCGGGUUGUAAAGCACUUUUGGCAGGAAAGAAACGUCAUGGGUUAAUACCCCGUGAAACUGACGGUACCUGCAGAAUAAGCACCGGCUAACUACGUGCCAGCAGCCGCGGUAAUACGUAGGGUGCAAGCGUUAAUCGGAAUUACUGGGCGUAAAGCGUGCGCAGGCGGUUCGGAAAGAAAGAUGUGAAAUCCCAGAGCUCAACUUUGGAACUGCAUUUUUAACUACCGGGCUAGAGUGUGUCAGAGGGAGGUGGAAUUCCUGGUGUAGCAGUGAAAUGCGUAGAUAUGCGGAGGAACACCGAUGGCGAAGGCAGCCUCCUGGGAUAACACUGACGCUCAUGCACGAAAGCGUGGGGAGCAAACAGG